CAUAGAGAGAGGGGGAGACGAGAGAGAGACUGAGAGAGGGAUGGGUCUAACGGAUGUCUUCAACUCCGUCACCGAGAAGGUGAGGAGAAAUUGUCCAAAUGUAUCGGAACCUGUUGGCAACGCAUGCCGGAGUUCUUAUUCUUUGGGUCGUGCCGCCGUUCUUAAGAUCGAUAAUGUCGUUAGAGUGAACGGAUCCCAGAAGCUGACGGAGUACAUUCCCGGCCCUGAAGCCCGGCAGAAGAUCGGUGUCUACGCCCUCAAUAUCUUUGACAGUCCCCUCGGCAAAGAGGGUCUCAAACUCAUCCCAG